GAAAAAUUGUCUCAAAUGAAUGAGUGAAAUGUGAAGCCAGAUUGAGGGGAAUAAAAGGGAAAUGGGGGUGGGAGUAGUAGUAGAUGACCAUGCAGGAGGAAAAUUGAAUCUAUUCCACCAAUUCAGUCAGCUUGAGCUGACUAAAUAUUUAGCCUGCUUUGAUACCAAACAUCAAGAUAUGUUUUAGUCUUACCCCUGUAGUCCGCCACAGAGAGUAGCGUUUAAAAGUCAAAAGUCGUAGUUAGUGUCAAAGGUUUGGUCAUAGUUUUAGGAUUUUUAAUAUUUCUUUAAAAAAAAACUGAUUACUGUCAGCAGGAGUCUUGUUUAUUUAUACCUCGGAAGCAGUUUACAUUUUUGAAAACUUGUAUAAAAUAGCUGUUAACAUUGAGGUGCAGCCUACACACAACUUGUACAUGCAGAUCUGGAGGCUGGCAUGUAAACUUACUGCCUUACAGACCCAGGUUCAAUCCUGACUGAAUUUGCAAGUUAAUUGGCUUCUGUAAAUUGUCUCUAAUGUGUAGGAUAGUGCUCUUGUAGAGGGUGUUGACUAGACGUUGCAGACUCAAUGGGCCGAAGGGCCUGUUUCCACGCUGUAACCUUUUUUAAAAUGAGAUCUUUCACAGUUAACAAUGGAGAUCAUUGGAAAAUUGUACUUCAUGCAACACUCAUUAAAAUAAAUAUGACAUUUGUAUUAAUAUAACUUUUUUUUAAAGUCAGAAAAAUUACUGAAAGAGCUACCGAGAAUGACAGACACAGCGAGCCAGGCAACAUCACUAGAUAGAAGGAUUGGGUGACUGGGCCAAGAGCAUUCAGACAGUCGGGAGAGGGAGACACAGAUAAUAAUAAUAAUACAUUUUAUUUAAUGGGCGCCUUUCAGACAUCUCAAGGACACCUUACAUAGUAAUCGGACUAAAAUAAGUAAUAAAGACAUCACAGAGGCACAAAUUAAAAACAGAAUUCAAUCCAAAAACAGAAAAUCAAAUACACAGUGUGAAGAGAGAGCAGCCAAAGCGCGCCAGCGUCCACUCUCUCUUCACGGCAGCCAUCCUGCACACAGACCUACAGGGUUACAAUUAGACAAAAAAAUCAUCCCCCCACAGUGGAUAGCACUGUGGGGGAAGGCACAGUGUCCAGUCCCCACCCCAUGUUCACCCCAAAGUCAGGCCUAUUGAGGCCACCGCAAUUGCCCUACGGAGGCCCGAUGUCCCUGGCCGUUCUCACCGGGUGGUCUUGCCCCGGCGUUGGGAGAGUCCUUUCGGCGGCUGGGCCACCUGGAAGGGCCGCGGCUGCCGAAGCCGACAAGGCCGCGCCGGUUUGGAGCUCCCAGGCUCCCGAUGAUAAAGACGGCGCAGCCUCUCCGCAGCCCGGAGAUGUUGCUCUCGGCGGUCCAGCUCGCCAGAGCUCCAGCGCGGUGGCCCAGGCAAGGGUCUGCGGCUCCAGCGCUGUGCCGAGGUGCUGGGCGGUCCCCGCCAGGAAACGGCGCUCCAAGACAGCUGGUAGGCCACGAGGACGGGUCGACGGGCAGCGCGGAGAAAAGGCUGCCACACCGACCAGGUAGGGACCUAGAAAUAAAGUUACACCUACCCCACACAUUAAAAAGACCAUAUCCCCUGCAAACUAAAAACAGGACUCACUAAAAACUAUUUAAAAAACGAAUUUAAAACGGACGGCUGCUGGCUAGCAGCCGCUCACCAAGAUGGCUCCUCCCCUACUGAAGGUAGGGAAGAUAAGGAAGGGUAAGGUAUGAAAAAGACAUCAAAAGAGACAAAGUUCAGGGAAAAUGUAGAAUAGAUCAUUGUUAGCUAGGAGAAGGUGUAACUACAUAGCAAACAGGUAAAAUGUGAUCUGACUGAGAAAGGGCAGGGAUGGAGAGAUGGAAAGCAAGGGCUACAAAGUUAGAUAAGUCAAUAUUCGUACCCCAAAACGAUUGCUGAGCCUGUGCUUGGUCUCGCCAAUAUAUAGAAGUCCAUACCUGGAAUAGCAGAUAAUGUUGAAAGAAGUGCAAUGAACCUCCACCUCGCCCGAAAAGACUGUCUGGAUCCUUGGACGGAGUCAAGGGAGGAGGUGUUGCACCUCUUUUGGUUGCAGGAGAAAGUACCUGGGGAGUGGGUGGUUUGAAUGGGAAGAAACGAGUUAACUUGGGAGUUGUGGAGAUGGGAAGAUGUGUAGUGGUGGAAUCGCGUUGGAGGUUGGGAAACUCGAAAGAUUAUGUGCUGUAUGUGACGGCUGAGGUGAAAGGUGAGGAGUAGGGGGACUCUUGCGACUGAUGGGGGGGAAGAAAUGUAGUUUAGAUACAGUGCCCUCCACAAUGUUUGGGACAAAGACUCAUUUAUUUAUUUGCCUCUACUUCACAAUUUGAGAUUUGUAAUAUAAAAUAAUCACAUUAGUUAAAGUGCACAUUUUCAGAUUUUAAUAAGGGACAUUUUUAUACAUUUUAGUUUCACCAUGUAGAAAUUACAGCAGUGUUUAUACAUAAUCUGAAAUAUGGCUGCAAUACAGGCCUGGCAAACCAUCACCAGAGAAAACACAAAGCAACUGGUGAUGCCCAUGAAUCACAUACUUCAAGCAGUCAUUGCAUGCAAAGGAUAUGCAACAAAAUACUAAACAUGACUACUUUCAUUUAUAUGGCAUUGGUGUGUCCCAAACAUUAUGGUGCUCUGAAAUGGGGGGGGGGGGGCUUUGUAUAAACACUGCUGUGAUUUCUACAUGGUGAAACCAAAAUGUAUAAACAUUGACUUUAUUAAAAUCUGACAAAGUGCACUUCACAUGCUAUUUUUUUCUAUUACAAAUCUCCAAUUGUGGAGUACAGAAGCAAAUAAAUUAAUGAUGGGUCUUUGUCCCAAACAUUAUGGAGGGUACGGUAGCAGAACUCACAGACUUCAUGAACUCCCUGACUGAUUGUUGGUAAGGAGGCUGAGACCGUUUUGGUGACGGGAUGAAGUGUAGAAUUUGGGUCCAGACAUUUGAGAAGGAAGGACACCUGUGAACAUUGGACAAAGAGGGGAGAUAGGAAAAUGUCACAUGUCAAAUCACUGGAGGAACUCUAGCGGGUCAAGCAGCAUCUGUGUAGAAGGAAGGACUACUCAACAUUUCUGGUCGAGGCCCUUUCCCUCCGCAUCUCCACUUGAGUUCUUCCAUCAAUUUUUUUUUUUGCACCAGAUUGCAGUCGUGUGUCCUUAUAUGUUGAUAUUUGUAGACUUCUGCAUUUUCAUCUGUCAAUGGGGUGAUUAAGCAAUCUGCCACAGUGCAGAUUGCAACAUUGGCUCCAGGAAAUCAUCUUUGCAAAGGGGGAUGGCCACAAGGGAAAUUGCAGUGGGCUGAAGGAAUUGGAAAUUUAAAUACAUUGGGGUUUCCAAGAUAUGCUUCCAUACACAAAAUGCACAUUUAUGCUAAUUUAGUCCUAUUUAUACAUACUUUAAAUCUUGGUGGAAGGAGAUUUGUAAGAAACUUGAAUAUUUUUUAUCAUUUUUGAAUAUAUUAUAUUUCGAACGGCUUUGGAUUCAUUUUGAGGUCAAACUUCCCUGAGAAGCUAUUCACUAUAUAGUGAAAAAUCAUAAUGUUAAAAUCUGUAGGCAGUGAAUAAGGAAAGUUUCCCCAUGUGCAUUAGGGAGUGUGUUGAACUUCACCCACUGUAAAGUUGUAUUGCAACAUAAUAUUUAUGGGUAAUUAAGUGUUCAUUCUGUUAAGUAUUCAAAGAGAUUGCAAUUUAACUUUUUAGUACAAGCUCUUUUAAGGCUUGGUUGGGGGAAGGAUGGGAGAGAAUAAUUUAGCAGUUUAGCAAAACCUGUUCAUAAGUGGUUCUUUCACAUUUGAAUACUGAAUAUGAGCAAGUGAUUCAACCCACACACUUAUGCAAUUUUGUGGGAGGAUUGGUCUCUAAUAGUGAGGAGAAGGAAAUGAUUUCCUUCCUUGGCCACAAAUAGUGAGAGGUGGAAGUCUGCCAAUCACAGUUAUGUCCUCUGCUAUCCAAGCUGAGAUCAAAUUUAGAAUUGAACAGAAAUCAAUGUGUAAGAGGCAGAGCCUUAACCAAUUGAUUUUUAUUUUUUCAAAGUACAGGUAUCACUGCCAAGCAAUCUACUUUGCCAAAUAGGAUCUAACCAUUAAUCACACACUGUUUCUGCAACUCGUAUCUGGUUCUUAACCUGAGUAUUCUGGAGCAUAAUUCACUAAUUAUUACCAAAUGCCCUCUUUUUUUUCUUUCAGUCACUUUUGUCACAUUUUAUUGUACGGUUACCUUCCUCUCACCGGAAAUCCAUUAUCAAAGCUUCACUGUUAUAAACUAUUAAGUUGCUGUUGUAGAACAACCUUGACUUCUCUAUACGAUCAAAGAUUUCAUUCCUAAUUCUAUUCCAGCAAAUAAUUUCCUGGUGCUUUUGCUCUUUUACAAUACUACUUAAGUAACAGUGAUCCACAUGGCCAGUGAUGUUUUAAAUUACUGCACCUCUGUUCUUCAUGUCCUCUAUCUUCCUUGGCAGAGUCUUAUCACAGGUCUGUCUCAGUGUAAUUAUCACAUUUUGAACUUUGGCUUAUAUUUACAAAGUAGCUAAAACAUAACAGGCAUUUGUGUCCAACAUGUGUGUGUAAAUGAACGCCUCUCUGCUCUCCAACUGAACACCAUCUAUCUCUUUUCCUUCAGGUGCUUAUCUGGUUUCCCUUUAAAUGCUAAUCAUCUCACCUAUUUCUGGUUCCACGUGCUUAUCGCUUUCCUGAAUUUUAUGGAUGGCUUAGUAACUAGCCCACAUUUAUAGUUGCUGCUUCUGGUCUUGCCCGCAAAUCUAAUUUUCUAUACCUAAUCCAUCAAAGCCUUCUAUUUCAAAAGACCCUAACAGGCCUUUCAUCUGGAAGAACCGUUCCUGUCCAUUAAUCUUUCCUGAUAACUAUUCAGUUCUGGUGUCUAUCAUCACCCCUCUCUCCCUGCCUGACUCGUUUACCAAUCAUUAUAAGUUCAUAGGUGAAAGGAGCAGAAAUAGGCCAUUCAGCCCAUCAAGUCUAUGGCGCCAUUCAAUCAUGGCUUAUCUGUCUUUCCCUUCCAACCCCAUUCGCCUGCCUUGCCAACCCCUGACACCCUUGCUAAUCAAGGACCCUUCUUCAGACUCAUCUGUCCCUGUUCUACGCCGAUGCUGUCUGGAAGUGCUCAGUUACUUCAGCACUUUGUUUCUGCUAAUGAAGCAGGCAGUUUUUCCAGGGAUGGUGUCAAGAUUUAUGUGUUUGGUUGUGUGAUCUCCCAGCUUUCGAUCCUUAAACGUCUUUGCACAGCCUUUCUCUGUGAUAUAAAAACAGAAAUAAGUAAAACAUGGACCAUUGUAAAACCCAACAUUAUUCCUCUGCACACACCUUGAUGUUGCCACACUUAUUUUCUCCAAGAUUAACUUACAAUAGACCCUUCACUGACACAUUAGCAAUAAACAAAUUGAUCAAAACUUGCUGGAUAUUUGCCCAUGACGUCUUGAUUAUGUUCUGUGAAUUGCACCAACUAGAAAUUGGCACCAGAACAUCUAGUUUUUAGGAACUUCAAUUUGGAUCAUUGCAAUGUCUCAGAUAACAUUUGAAUCACUGCUGUAUUACUGUGGAUGGACGUCUCCCUCAAGUGGUGUCAGUCUUUCAUUGCACCAUUCGAUACAUCUACCGCAGUAAUCCACAGCUUUCUUGGGAGAUCCAAAUUGACAUAUUUAUCACACUCAAAAAGUGCAUUUUCCGAGGUUUAAUGUGCCGUGCGCGAGGUCAUUGCGACUCUACACUACAAAGCCAAUGGUCUGGGCUCUCUAUGGAUGGUCAAUGUUUAAGAUCUUAAGAUUUCUUAAGAUCUUGAAUCUGUUGAUUCUGUACCACAGGAUUUCUUUUGGUAUUUGAUUUUAAUACAUUGGUUCCUUGUCCACGCCGUUAGAUGCGUGCCCUCGUUCGUGAGUACAGGUAAUAUUUAUAACAUACCUCCAUUAUUUGGUGUGGUUGAGUUGUGAACCCGACUGAAAUUUGGCGUUGAUGUGUCAUUAAUGUGCCCUAACUAACCAUUUUGUAGCUUCUGUUCACAGAAGAUUGCUGCAAGCUCUCCUGAUGGGUUGACGUUCCGGUACGAGCCUCUGGGUUACAGCGUCCUUACUCAGGCAUUCAUUGCGAGCUGCCUGAGAGGAUUUUUCUUGCACAUUCUACCGGGGACUUUCGAGUGUGAUGAUCGGAAGUGGCUAUGUUCUUUGUUUCUGGCUCCAGUCUGGUCUUAGUUACUGGUCCAUGAACAUGUCAGCCGUGCCGUGAAGUUGGAGACAUAUUUUGCGAGUCUUAAAAUGGCUUAUUUUCAGGUAUUCCACAGCUCGUCCUUUUCAUUUUGUUCUUACUUAUUUGGUCAGAUGUUUGUAUCUGAUUUCCAAAGAUAGUAUUUUUCUGAUGACGGCUGAUGGUAUUUGCACUUCCAGUCUUGGAAGGCUCAGUCUUCCAUUUAAGUUCCGUGCAUGAAGGAUAUCAUCUGUGGUCUCACUCGGCACUCGGCCUCUCUCUUUCACCGUUGUCUUUAUUAGAUUUCUGAGAUGCUUUCAUAAGGAUAAGGUGGAAAUAUAGGUUCGGGACCUCAUGAGGCCUAAUGGGCCUGUCCCACUUAGGCAACUUUUUAGGCGACUACAGGAGACUAUGCGGUCGGCAAAUGAUCGCGGGUAGUUGCGGGGGGUUCGCCUUCAUGGUCGUGAAUAGUCCCUGCAUUCUUGGAACUAGUCGCGGCUUCAUACUGGAUGCCGCUAGUUUUUCAACAUGUUGAAAAAUUAGCAGCGGCCAGAAUGAAGCUGCUAUGGAGAGUAGCGGGGAUUCUCGUGCUGUAGGUGCAGUGGUAGUGGGUCGCCAGGAGGUCGUAGAUUGUCGCUGGUGCUGACCAAUUUCAUUGGCUCAUUGGGGACAGAAACGUAAACAGUAGUUUUCAGAACCAAGGAUAACCGACCGGUAAUGUUAAUGUCCGCCGAACUUCACAGCCGUGUAUUGUUGGCUUCUUAAAAGUUGUGUCCACUCUUUCUCCCCACUUCUUCCCCACCCCUCUUUUAAAGGACUUAAGUGACCCUUCCCGUACACUGCUUUCACUGUCUUAAUUGACUUGACUUGACAGUCGCCUGAAAAAUCACUUAAGUGGGACAGGGAUAAGUGUCUCAAUCCUUUGCAAUGGUUUUGACUGUGGAUUUGGUUGUUGCUUCAUGGCCAAUUACAAAACCCACGUUAACCCAAGUAGCUUUAAGAUAAAAACAAAUGUUGGUGGGUUCUUUUAGGCUGCCAAGCGAUUUAUCGAACUUGGAGUACUAGUUCUCUUCAGUAGUUCCAGACCAGGGAUCGAUACGUGCACGAAGGUAUUUCUAGAUCUCCCCUGGAUUUAUGUAUUCGAUUGAGCCCUUAUUUAUUAACCAGUUGUUUAAAGGGUUGAAGACAUAUGUCUUCCUUUUGGUGACCAUAUGGAAGCUCUUGGUCUUUCUCACAUUAAUUUCCAGCCUGUAUGCAUGCAUAAUGUUUGCAGGAUUUUCAAUCAUACCAUUACAUGAAUCAUUAAGGAUUGCAAUACCUUCUGCGAAGGUUAGAGCUGCACAGCUAGCCUGCUGUUCUCCAUUUUUCAAAAGCACUCCUUGUCCGUUCUUCUGGAAUGUACAAAUCAGUGAGUCCAAUGCGAUAUUGGAGAGGUUCGGAGACAUAGGUUCCCCUUGUUUGACUCCUCUGUUUAUCAAGUUGGGCUUUGUUUUCUCUGCCGGGUUUGACCACAGUUGUUGUUUCUGCAUAUAGAUCAUAUUAGUGAAAGGCCUUGUUGUUUCUGAAUAUAGAUCUUAUUAGCGAUCUAUAAACUUUCGUGGCAAUCCCAUUCUUUCCAGUGACUUACACAAAUGUGUCCAACAGAAUCGAAUGCUUUGGCCAAAUCAGUGAAGACGAUCGUCAGUUCUUUGUCUUCUUGACCCCAUUCAUGAUGCGCACAGGUGUUAAAAAGAUUCACCUUCAUCGGGAGUCAUUCCUUACUAAAGGGCCUGUCCCACUUUCACAAACUAAUUCACGAUCUUUUUUACUCAUGGACAUUUUUCAUCAUGUUGAAAAAACGCCCAGACCUACUUGAUGCCACGAGUACCUACGACUAGCAUCACAAGCUACCUACGACCUACCUUCGACCUCGUGACGACCAUGCUGCGAGUACGAGUCAAGGGCAAACUCGGCAGAGGUCGUGAAAGUGGGACAGGCCCUUAAAUGAUAGGGGCAUCUCACAAAAAUGUGAUUUUAUCCUAAAGAUACUCAUAAUAACCUGGGCGUUAUUAUAAAGCAACAGCCAAUCUCAGAGAAAGGUACUGACAAUAUUAUUGGUGUGGAUGUGAUCCAAGUAACUGAGCAACCAAUAACAGUUUUGAAUUCUCGGAAAUGGUAGAACAGCAUUAUCCGCUAAUUUUUAAUUUGCUUCAAACAUUUUGCAGAAAGUAAAAUAAAGAUUAGAAGCAUACACAUGAAAUUAAAAUAGACCCUAAACAUUUAAAACUGAAAUUGUGAAAUUAUUGGCCGAGGAAAUGAUAGUUCACAAAAGAUUAGAAGUUCAAGGUCAGAGUUUGCUAAAUAGUAAUUAUGGCUUACUAUGCUGUUUAAAACUCACAUCUCAAUCAACAAUGUGUAACAUUGUCAGGGUAUUUUACAGCCAGAAUAGUUGGCACGCAUUUGGAGAUCCUAUCAAUUUACGAUCGUACUGGAAAACCCAGCAACCAAGCUUCCUAUAGACACAAGUUAUCUCAGAGAGUGAGGUCUGGAGUUCCUACCUAAUUAUACGUGGUUUCUCCAGCUGUUGCUAUGAAGCUUUCUCUCUUAUAAUGAUUGGGACCAGCUUUCACCGGAAGGAGCCAGUGCGCUACCAGGUGAACCAGCCGCUGCCCUGGAAGGUUCAGAACGUCAGCCGCAAUCGAAGGUCCAGUCGGGUUGACGAGGAAGGACGGAGGCUCUCGAUGAAGCCGUGCUAAUCGUUCGCAGGGCAACACAGCAAGAGGUGUUAAACGUUGGGAAGAAAAUAUCUUUGCGGAACUCAGCCUGGAGAGUGUAGCUAUGACCAUCCAGACACAAUACCGGAGAUAUCAAGAAUGCAAAAAGUAUGAACAAAAUCCAUAAGUGAUGUGGAGACACAAGAGACUGCAGAUGUAGGAAUCCCGAGCAAAAAACAAACCGCUAGAGGGACUCAGCGGGCCAGGAAGCGUCUGUGGAGGCAAAUGCUGGGUCAGGACCUUCCAAAUGUUGUCUGUCCAUUGCCUCAACAGAUGUGGUCUGGACCACUGAGUUCCUCCAGCAAUUUGUUACUUCCAUAAAUGAUGUGUUCUUGAAGAUGUCCCUCAUGUGUAAUGUUGAAUAUAAGGCCAAGUGAUUGGAAUUUAACAUUAAUGUUUAGAUACCAGGUCACAGACGUAAAGCUAGUUCAUGUCCAUUCUCCUGUAUGUGUCUUAUUGAUCUGUAUAUUUCCAUGAUCUUUAAUAAAGAUUAGGAGGACAUGAACCAAAUGCUAUAACAAGGAAUUGCAGA